rnacentral:rRNA from 1 species
GACGAACGUUGGCGGCGUGCCUAAUACAUGCAAGUAGAACGCACAGUUUAUACCGUAGCUUGCUACACCAUAGACUGUGAGUUGCGAACGGGUGAGUAACGCGUAGGUAACCUGCCUGGUAGCGGGGGAUAACUAUUGGAAACGAUAGCUAAUACCGCAUAAUAUUGAUUAUUGCAUGAUAAUUGAUUGAAAGAUGCUAUUGCAUCACUACCAGAUGGACCUGCGUUGUAUUAGCUAGUAGGUGAGGUAACGGCUCACCUAGGCGACGAUACAUAGCCGACCUGAGAGGGUGAUCGGCCACACUGGGACUGAGACACGGCCCAGACUCCUACGGGAGGCAGCAGUAGGGAAUCUUCGGCAAUGGACGAAAGUCUGACCGAGCAACGCCGCGUGAGUGAAGAAGGUUUUCGGAUCGUAAAGCUCUGUUGUAAGAGAAGAACGGGUGUGAGAGUGGAAAGUUCACACUGUGACGGUAUCUUACCAGAAAGGGACGGCUAACUACGUG